rnacentral:misc_RNA from 1 species
AAUGACACUACGUAAUUUAGAAGCCACAAUUUUUGCUGCUACUAACUCUUCCGGCGACGAUUCCCAUAAACCCUAAAUCAACUUUCGCCGCCGAUCAAUCUGCCCAUUAUCUCGGGUUCUUGAUUUAAGAAAAAAACCAAGAACUUGUUGGUUUUUUAAGAUGCGUGUUUUAAGGUAUUCUUAGAUUAUUUUGUAAUACAUGU